AGAGUUUGAUCCUGGCUCAGGAUGAACGCUGGCGGCGUGCUUAACACAUGCAAGUCGAACGAGGUCCAACCUUCGGGUGAAGACCGAGUGGCGAACGGGUGAGUAACACGUGGGGAACCUACCCUUCUCUCUGGGAUAACGUCGAGAAAUCGGCGCUAAUACCGGAUACUCCUUGCGGAUCGCAUGGUCUGCUUGGGAAAGCUCCGGCGGAGAGGGACGGCCCCGCGGCCCAUUAGCUAGUUGGUGAGGUAACGGCCCACCAAGGCGACGAUGGGUAGCCGAGCUGAGAGGCUGAUCGGCCACACUGGGACUGAGACACGGCCCAGACUCCUACGGGAGGCAGCAGUGGGGAAUCUUGCGCAAUGGGCGAAAGCCUGACGCAGCAACGCCGCGUGCGGGAUGAAGGCCCUCGGGUCGUAAACCGCUUUCAGCAGGGAUGAAACUGACAGUACCUGCAGAAGAAGCCCCGGCUAAAUACGUGCCAGCAGCCGCGGUAAUACGUAUGGGGCAAGCGUUAUCCGGAUUUAUUGGGCGUAAAGCGCGCGUAGGCGGCUUGUUAAGUCAGAUGUGAAAUCCGGGGGCUCAACCCGCGGCUUGCAUCUGAAACUGGCAGGCUUGAGUCUGGUAGAGGAAAGUGGAAUUCCUGGUGUAGCGGUGAAAUGCGCAGAUAUCAGGAGGAACACCAGUGGCGAAGGCGGCUUUCUGGGCCACGACUGACGCUGAGGCGCGAAAGCUAGGGGAGCGAACAGGAUUAGAUACCCUGGUAGUCCUAGCCGUAAACGAUGGGGACUAGGUGUGGGGGGUCAUCGACUCCCUCCGUGCCGAAGCUAACGCAUUAAGUGCCCCGCCUGGGGAGUACGCCGCAAGGCUAAAACUCAAAUGAAUUGACGG
rnacentral:rRNA from 1 species